AAAAUAUAAGUUUGGAAAGAUUUAACCGAAAGAGGAGAGUGCUUCAGUGCUCUGUCCGUGCCUUUUCUGAUUAAAACUGCCCAAGGCAGCUUUGCUGCUUUCUUCACUGGCACUGUACUUCCCGUUUGUUUUCCACCCAAUCCGUCUGACCUCUGCCAGUCACGCCAGUCUCUCCUCUCUCUCCCCGUAUGCCUUCUGCUGCUUCUGUUUCUGUCAGUCUGCUCCUCUCUCUGUUUUCCCUGUCUUCUCCUCACUACUCUCUCUGUUUUUUCCCGCACCUGUUUCUGCGCCUACCCUCCUCUUUCUGUGUCUAUCCCUCUUGUUUCUGUCGGUCUGUUCUCUCCUUUCUCCGCACAGUUUUCUGUGCAGCUUCCCUCUAUGUUUUUUUUUAGCUGCCAGGCAGCUGUCCUUCCUUUUAAUCCUCUUGGCUGUCCCGUUUCUUAUUCUUUCCACGCCUCCGACCUCUCUCCAAUACCGUCCCAUUUAUUUCUUUUGCCAUUCCUCCACAUUUCCUUGUCUGCCCUGCUCUUUAUUUUCUACUUCUUUUUGUUCCAUUUCCUUCCCAUUUCUCCACUACCGUCCCAUUUCCUUUGUUUUCUGUUUUUAGUAUCUUUAUUCCUCUGUCAGUGCACUCCCCACUUAAGCUUUACGAUAUAAUGGUAUUGUAGUGGUCUGCAACUUUAGAUAAAGAUAAUUGAAACCGGUAUAUUUUGAACCCAUCUGCACAUAAUAACGGACUGAAUUAUGUUUAAUUAUACAAAACACAAUGUGUCCUUUCCUUUCUUUUUUAUUUUUCUCCACUUUUCUUGAAAUUAAUCUUAAAGCAAAUUUAAUUGUACAUUAACACAAGGUAAGGUAAAGUACCACAAUUUAACACAAAAACAUCACAAAGACUUUAGAAAUGGAUGGUAUAAAUGUAUGAAAUAUAUGAGUGAUCAAAUACCCCCAAACUUACAUCUUUGCUAGUCCUCUAGCAAAACAAAGAAAAUAUGAAAAAGUAAUAACAUGAAAAACAUUAGCUUCCCUCUAUGUGACCCUCAUAGAAUUUCAUCCAAGAAAACAAAUCAUCAAGAACCAUAGCUAGCAUCAAGGAACUAAUCCAAGUUCAUCUUCCUUAUUCAAAUAUUAGCAGUAAUCUUUGAAUCAUCCUUGAAGUGUAGUGUGUGAGAUAGCCAUGCUAAUGCAAAAAAAUUAUAUAUUUUUGAAAUCAUCAUAUGCAAACUAGCAACCUUCUCACGGGAUAUACACUCAAUCACACAUGUGUUUAGUUUAAAUGUGUUUCGCUCAAAGAAUCAAAUGUGAAAGUUCUACCAUAAGCUUGCAUAAAGAUCACUUCUCCACAGUCAUAAUUGCAAAACUUAAAUCAAGAGGACUUUUAUUGGAUGUAAUGAGGUUUAGGGAUAGGGUUAUUGAAACGAAAGAAUAGGAAAACACAAGUUCCAAGCUACAUUGCAAGCAAUUCUUUUCUUUAGAUUUAUAAGAACUCAAGCUCUCUAGCAAUUCUUCUACCACCUCAAACCACACCCUUAAACUGAAACUUUAAAAACUUUUUAUUUUCUUUGUAUACAAUCUUUCUUUUUCUUUUUCUUUUUCUUUUCUUCUCUUUUCUCUUUUUUUUUUUUUUUUUUUUAAAUACAAACAUGAAAUACCCCCACACUUAUUCUUUUGCCAAACACCUUCAAAGUACUUCAAAAACGUUUCUCAUAAGACAAUCUCGCAUUGCUCGCUUGGAAAGGGUAAGGAAAAAUGUUUCAGGUAUAAGGGUAGACAUAUCUGGUGAUAAGAAAUAAAAGGAUCAACAUACACGGCUCAAAUUGGCAAUCUAAUGAUAUCAUUUUUCUUUGGGAAACAUGGUUAUUUGGGCCAUAGUGGUAAACCUAAUGCCUCUAUCAUUUCCAAAUUCAUGCAAUCAAUGACAAACAUUUCGAAAGAUCGUUACGCAAGUUCUAGAGAUGUAUCUCACAUAAGUUCAUCACACAUGAAAGAAUAGGAGUGUAUGAAAAAUGCACACACUUUCAAUAGGCUCAAAACUCACAUAGGAUAUAUAUGGUCACUAAAUUCACAUAUGAAGCUUUAAUUCAUACUUUAGUUUCACAUUAACAAGGCUAUCUGCAUUUGGUUUUUCAAAGAUGGUCAAACAUGUACAAAACUAACAAGAGAAUUAGGAAUUUCACAAAACACAUGUUAACUAAGUUCUUGAUAAUCAUGAUUCAAAUUUGAUCUUAAUUAUAUCAUUGGGUCGGGAAACUAACAAAAAUCUAAAUCAAAACAAUAAGGGAAACAAGACAAUAUUUUUGGAUUUUUAAAUUUUCCGAUUUUUAAAAAAAAAAAAUUUUUUAAAAGAAAACAAAACUAAUUAAGAAAACAAAAAGCAACAACAUGGAAACAAAUGAAACUCGUUCGUAGUUGAAGGUACAAAAAAUUUCAAUUUGGUCAUUUUUUAUACUCUUUACCCCCAAACUUAAACUGGACAUUGUCCCCAAUGUCAGAAAACACUAUAAUGCAAAUAAAAAUAAAAUAAAUAAAUAAUAAGAAACAAAAUAAAGCAAUUGGACUGAAAACUUCCCUAGUUUGCAGUAAAAUCAAGCGAUGACCCCCCAAGCUAAAAUUCUGCAAUCAACUUCAAGGGUGGAAAUAACCAAAAAUUCCUGCAAAGAAAAGAAAUAAUUCAGUUAAGUAACGCAAGAAAAUGUAAAAAAAAUUGCAAACGAAAAAUUGAAAAUCACGAUAAAAGACAAUGAAUAGAACUAAUAAGUGAUCAUUGGUCGUGCUUGUUGACUUUCCACAACUUUCCUCUUGAACGGGGUGACACUUAGCUUUUUACUUGCAAGUGAUGAUUUGAUGAUAUUGUACGGCGAAGCUUUGCUCUUUGGUGAUGUUGCAAUUCCUUAUUUGUUCUCCAAGCAGAUGUGGCAGCUUCUCUAGUUCUUCAACUCAGACUCCUUAUGCUGGGAUGAUUGUGCAAGCUGCAUUCUUCUCUGCUUGUUUCUUCUGCACGACGGGCAGGCACAAGGUAGCUGUGUUGGUCUGAUUCUUUCUUCAAUCUUUCCAAGUGCCCACCUCUUGCUUUCUUUCUCCUUGUCCCUAGCUGAAUUGUCCCCGCAUGCUUCGAGGUAUCAUUUUCACUUCCCUUACUGUCCCCCAGGCAGAUGUGGUAGACGAAGAGAAAGCACAAAAUGAUGAAGAUGAGUACUCGAGAGCAAGGCUAGGUAAGCAAUCAGGAAGGGGUUCCAGGCAGUUGGCUCCAGAUCGGAAGAUUGAUACCAAAUGCUGGCUGAUUGCUCUCUUUCUCCUUGUCGUAAAACAAAGACAAUGAAAAGGACAAGGAGAAAGCAUGAUAUGAGAUACUCUUGUUUUCAACCUUCAUGAUAUGAAAUACUUUUGCUUUGGAUGGGUUGUUUGCAGAGGUACCCCAAGGAAUAAGGAAUACAGAGUAACUCGAAAGGUUUCUUUGGGAAUACAUUCUCGGAAAUGAAGAAGUGUUGAAAGGGUGUGCCUUUGCUGUGGGAAGGCGAAGGUAGAUACUUAUAGGACUUUUCUUCACAACCGGAACUAUUCCCUCACUCAUUGUCGGCAGCCGGUGGAUGGAUGAAUAGUACAAAUUACGCGCUUUCUGACAAAGCUACCCGUAAUUUCCGCAAAGCUGCCAGUUGCAUGUGACGAGUGACGACACGUCUGGACAAAUUGAUCUUUUGAAAUCCGGGGUUCGGCUUGUGGUUUCUGAGCAAGCCCAGCUUUUGAGAAAUGAAACACCUCUUUUGAGAAAAGAAUCCGGCUUUUGAGAAAGGAGCCCCGACUCUUCGAUUUGCGAGAGGACGCCUCUUUUUCUGAGGAGCGCCUCUUUGAUUUCUUCUUUUUAUAGAGGCGUUAAUUUUGUUCCACAACACACUUGAGCUCCCUCCUGUAAACACUCCCUUCUUGCACUUCCGAAAUCUUAAUCUGUCCGAUCUCUUCUUUCUCAACGCCUUCAGAAAAUGUCUGGCCCUUCCGAUCGUCGUUUUGACUUGAACAUUGGUGAAGAGGCAGCUCCGCCUUCACCAGACAACAUAUGGCGCCCAUCCUUCAUAUCCCCUACCGGUCCCCUUACCGUGGGGGAUUCGGUGAUGAAAAAUGACAUGACCGCUGCGGUGGUGGUCCGGAACCUUGUCACCCCAAGAGAUAACAGACUGCUCGCUAGACGGUCUGAUGAAUUGGCGGUUAAGGAGUCUCUGGCUCUUAGCGUGCAGUGUGCGGGUUCUGUGUCCAACAUGGCCCAACGCCUAUUUGCUCAAACCCGUCACGUUGAAUCGUUGGUGGCAGAAAUACAGAGUCUCAAAGAGGAGAUUAGAGGACUCAAGCAUGAAAAUAAACAAUUGCACAAGCUUGCACACAAUUAUGCCACAAACAUGAAGAGGAAAAUUGACCAGCUGCAGGAAAAUGAUGGUCAGAUUUUACUUGAUCACCGGAGGUUUGUGGGUUUGUUCCAACCGCAUCUGCCUUCGUCUUCUGGGGCGGCACCGCGUAGUGAAGCUCCAACUGAUCAACCUCCGAUACCUCCUCCUUCCGUGGCCCCGCCGACUGCUGAAGCUCCGCCGACUACUGAAGUGCCACCUGACCAAUGAAUGCUAUUAGUUUACACAUCAUUGUAAAAUAUUUUUACUUUUAUGUUUUUUUUUUUUUUUUUAAUAUGUAAAUUAAUGUAAAAAGACUUUGUUUAACCUUCCCCCAUACUUAAACUAAAUAACACAAACUCAUAGAAAUCAACCAAAUAACACAACUAACUAAACAAAACAAAAUGAAAGCAGUAAAGAUAAGGGUGUAAGAAUGCAAAUCUGAUUUGGUUAGCGAUUCCAAAGUCUCCCUUCGUUGAAUGCUUGGGUUGCCUCCCAAGAAGCGCUUGAUUUAACGUCUUUAGCCGGACGAAUCUUUCCUUUAAACUCCCCUCGGCUCCAAAGCAUGGAAUUUAUCUUUUAAUGGGAGGUGAUACUUGAAAUGAUUCGGCAAUGGUUUAAAUUCAAGAGUGGGUGCCUGAAUCAUCAAAAUCAGAAACAUGUUAGUAUAAAUUAAAAUUAAAAUUGGAGAAAAUGGCUUACUUUCUUUUUCCGACACAAACUCAAUGACAAACACCACAUCUUUGAACAUUUCCGGGACUUUGAACUUGGCCAGGUUUACUAUGAUGGUUGUGGCUUGUCCCGUGUUAUCAAACUCAACUGCUUUGGGCUUGAUUGUCUCAUGCACAGCCUCUUGGAUGUAUUCUUGAUAUGCUUCAACCACUUCAUUUUCUUGAAUCCCUUUUCUUGGUGUGCAAGGUUCUUUGAACGUUUCAAUACCAAAUGGCACUUGUUUUGGUGCACCAAGAAUUUGGAUAUCACUUUGCACCUUUGGAAGAGCUUCCACAAUGUCUUUUUCACUCUCUUUGAUAUUUGGAAUCAAAAACCUGCAAGGACAAAGGACAUUCGGUGGAAUAAUGUUAGAAUGAAGUGAAUUUAGAACUUCCUCACCUGAGUUGGAUGACAUAUGGAUUUGAGGAGCUUGCAGCAAGAAUUCUUCUAAACUGCCCAGGUCGUCCUCCUCCUCUUCUGCUUGCAGCAGCAAUUCAUCCAUGUUCGGGCUGUGUUUGGAUGGUUCUGGGACAGCUUCAUCCUUCAUGUCACCUUCCAAAGUGAUGGCUUCAUCGAUUUCACUUUCUGCCUUUGAAUUUGCAAUGUUUGAGUUGGAAAGUUCACUUUGAUCUCGAAUCUGUGCCAUGAAUUCCACAAUCUGCCUAACUUGCAUAUCCAAUCCGUCCACUCUUUUGACUCGGUCUUGCAUCUCCUGGUUUUGAUUUUCUACUCCAUGAUUCAAAGAGGUGAGUAACUUAUUAAGUGUAUCAUUAUUCAAGGACGUACCUGAAUUGAAUUGGGCUGAUUGUUGUGGUGGCUGUGACGGUUCAUAUGGCCACUGAUAGAACUCUUCCGAUGGCGGCAAUUGUUCUUCUUUUUGUGAACCCUGCGUCAAAGAAAUUAGUCCUUCAAGAAUUUCAUUAUAAUUCACGGGCAUACUUUGAUUUGAUUGGAAUUGUUGUGGGGAUGUUGUGGUGGCUGCAUAGGUCUUGAAUAGAACUCGUCUUGCUGCCAAUAUCCACCUUGUUGAAAUUGUUGAGGUUCAUCCCACAUAUAAUCUGAAUUGUAAGCGUUGGAAACAUGUUGCCCCUUGAUUGGUUAUGGCCUUGAUAUCCCCAAACAUCUUCAUUUGCAGAAAAUUGAGGACUUUGAUAUCCUUGCCCAUAGGGCACAUCAAGUGUAGGGACACUUGGCAUUGUGGUCCGUUCGGCAUUAUGAGUCAAUUGAGCAGUGAGCUGUGCCAAUUGAGCUUGAAUGGUCGCAAGUGCCAUGUCUUGCUCCAUUUGUACCUAAAAUCAAAGAAAGAAAAAUAAAUCAAAUAUCAAAAGUAAAAUACACACACCAAUAUAAACAUAAACAAAAACAAAAAUAAAGGGAUUAGCAAAGUUGCUAAUCCCCGGCAACGGCGCCAAAAUUUGAUGCGUAAAAUAAGUUAACACACAAUUUAAACCCUCUUUUUGACAAUUGUAGUAAAGUAUGUAAGUAGGGUAUCGUUCUAGGCCGGGGAUUAGGAGGGAUUGCUAAUCUAUUCUAAAUUAAUUUAAAAAUAUUAAACAAGACUCAAGGACACAAAACUAGGCUAAAAACUCUAAUAACUCGAAACACACUUAGAAUGACUCAACAUAAUGAAAACAAUUAAUUUAGACACUAGGAACUAAAAUGGACGGAAAUUGAAUUAAAAGACUAACAACAAUGAAAACUAACUAAAUAAUAUAAUUUAAUAAUGGGGGGGUUUGGUUUUGACGAGAAGUAAAUUAAACUUAAAUAAAUUACAGAAUUGACAAAAGCAUGAAAUUAAGGUGAAAGGAUAGGUGACGGACUAGCUAGAGGGUUCUUCUCCACACAUGACACAUAUGCAACCUAAAUUGAUUUUCAGUUGUUCUUUCAAUAAAUUGUGAAUGACAAUGUUCCAAGUUAAUUAGGUCCGCUUAAAUUAACUCUUAGAUUUCCCUAGAUUCAUUGGAUUGAAUGGAAUACGCAUUACAACCAAAUUAUUCCUCAUCAAAGUCCCUAACUAUGGAAUACGCAUGAUAGAGACAUUCAACAAAGAUCAUUAAGUUCAACGGAAAUCAUAAACAUUGACUAGGCAUUCAUAACUAUGGAAUACGCAUGUUAAUCCAGCCUAGAAUUCACUUAACACGAUUGUGGAUAACAACCUUCACUACUUGUGAAUAUAAGUUCAUAAAGAUUAGGUGAAAUUCACUUAUAUUCUAGCACCAAAUUCAUGCAUGUAAAUUAAGUAUGCAUUCUUAAUCGACAUACAAAAAUAAGUUAUCAAUCAAGCAGUUAAGCAAAUUAAAUCACAACUCAGAAAUCACAACUGAAGGUAAUCAAUUCAUAUUACAAAUAUAUUCAUGGCUUUGAAUUAACCUCUAGCCAAAAUAAAUUUAGUUACACAUUAUUAAAACAGAAAUAAAAUAUAAGUUUGGAAAGAUUUAACCGAAAGAGGAGAGUGCUUCAGUGCUCUGUCCGUGCCUUUUCUGAUUAAAACUGCCCAAGGCAGCUUUGCUGCUUUCUUCACUGGCACUGUACUUCCCGUUUGUUUUCCACCCAAUCCAUCUGACCUCUGCCAGUCACGCCAGUCUCUCCUCUCUUUCCC
rnacentral:lncRNA from 1 species